rnacentral:rRNA from 1 species
CCUACGGGAGGCAGCAGUGGGGAAUAUUGCAGAAUGGGGGAAACCCUGAUGCAGCGACGCCGCGUGAAGGAUGAAGUAUUUCGGUAUGUAAACUUCUAUCAGCAGGGAAGAAAAUGACGGUACCUGACUAAGAAGCCCCGGCUAACGACGUGCCAGCAGCCGCGGUAAUACGUAGGGGGCAAGCGUUAUCCGGAUUUACUGGGUGUAAAGGGAGCGUAGACGGUAUGGCAAGUCUGAUGUGAACACCCGGGGCUCAACCCCGGGACUGCAUUGGAAACUGCCGAACUAGAGUGUCGGAGAGGCAAGUGGACUUCCUAGUGUAGCGGUGAAAUGCGUAGAUAUUAGGAGGCACCCCAGU